rnacentral:misc_RNA from 1 species
GUGAAUCAUCGAAUCUUUGAACGCAAAUUGCGCUUCCUGGUGUCCCGGGAAGUAUGCCUGUUUGAGGGUCAGUAUUAAUAAAAAACCGGCUGAGUUACAACUUGUGACGUUUCCGGAGUUUGGGCUAUCUUCACAUUUUUGGUUAAGAGGCUUAAAAUUGACCUUUUUUGUGUAUUUAUAAACGUACAUAAUUUUUUUUUCUUUGUCUAUUCUUAAUGCUAAAAUCUUAUUAGCUGCGAUCACACCGU